AGGUGAGACAAGGCCAAAGAUGGAGGAUAAAUGAAGAUAGUUAGCGAAGCGACAGGAUUUACUCGGCCCAAAAUCUGUCAAUGAGAUAAGCCCUUUUUUGUAUGGUCUAUGAGAGAGUGAAGUUACGUGAAUCUUAUUGUUUUUUAGGCUGUACAAAUGUACGUAUAAAAGUUGAUGCACGUGGUAUUCCGGCAACUUUAAGAAAAACAACAUAUAAUGCUUUCAAGUAGGAUUUGUGGUAUUUUACCUGUUGGAAAAAUGGCAAUGUUUAUAUGACCCUACAAACGCCCAUUUUUACUACAUUAUUGCCCGCAUACACAUUUUAUGUGCAUACAUGCCGAGGAAAAGUGUUGGUUGUGGUGUGCAGAUGUGGGCGGGCAUCUAUUUUAAUCAAUCAAUUGAGAAUAUACCCCAUCAAUAAGUAAUCCAUUAUUAAUUUAUUGAGGCAGGUAAUACAAUUGUCCAAAAUAAUAGAUUUUUUAUUUUACCUUUAUUUAACUAGGCAAGUCAGUUAAGAACAAAUUCUUAUUUUCAAUGACGGCCUAGGAACAGUGGGUUAACUGCCUGUUCAGGGGCAGAACGACAGAUUUGUACCUUGUCAGCUCAGAAUAGCAUACUUUUGAUUGAAUUAGGCAUAUGUUAUGGGCUGUGCAGCCAUGACUGCACCAUCCAAAUUAAAUCAAUAGUUUGUUAUUUUGUUCAUUAACAAGACACAUCUACCCAAUCACAGUCAAAACACGUAUUUUAUAUAUUUUUUUAAAGUUAUAUUUUGAAACAGAGCCCAAUCUCAUGCUUUUCUUUAUGCAGGUUUCAUCUCUUUUGUACCUCAAUCCACUUUGUUAGGGAGCAUGAAUAGGGUCUUAUCAUGACCUUGUGUAAUCAGUAUCAGUCUGGGUAUCUCUGACGAAGGAAGGUGGUUUUGGUAUGGCAUGGACCCUACUAAAUUAUUUCAACCUGUUCAGACUGGGACAAUGACAACAUCCUGACUAACAGCUAAAACCUAACCAGAUCUCUAGAAGCAAAUGUAUUUAGUGUGGAGGUCCCUCCCGGGGCCCCACAGUGUCUCAGAUGAUGGAGAGAGCUGGAAUGCAGGAAUGUGGAGAGAUAAUCCUGCAACCUCAGUGGAUAGUGCUCAACGCCUGCCAGUGCUUUGAUCUUCACACCGCUGCCAAGGGGGACAAGCAAUUUCCUGAGCUCUUCUCAGAGGAAGGUUCCUGUAAAUGUAUGUUCCAUGUCAGCACGCAGGUAUCCAAGGAGCCUACCCACAUGAACACAAAUCUAUUUAAUUUGGUUAAUGCUGCUGAUAAACAGAUUCUGCUCAUAAAACUCCUCCAUCACCCGGGAAGAAAGGGUGCAUGUCAAAGAAACCCUAUACGUUUGCAGUUUCACCUCUAGCCACACCCUUGAGUCACAGGACAACUUCCAUCAGAAUUUCCACUAGUUGUUGCCUAAGAAUGUAAGCUACUGUAUGUGAGUCAGCCACGUCAGGUUUCUGAGCAGUAAUGUUGAUAAGAUAUAUAAUGCUCCCACCCCUGACUCCCUGUCCUUCUGGCGACUGCCCUGGAAAAACAUUCUCAUCUAUCAGGAAUGUAAUUCACUCUAUAGUGACGGAAAAUACUACUAAGAACAGGUUUUCUCUGUGAAAUAUUAAAUUAACUGGUAUCCUGAAAUGCAAUAUUCUUCUAAAACAAAGUGAUGUAUUUGUCUGACGUCUCUAAUUUGGGGAAACUACAGUAAACUACUGGGCAAAUGUUAGAGUUUCGAUUAGCAUAUGUCUAUCAGAAGCACAAGCACGGAAAUCUAAAGCCCUGUGAUAGCUGAUAGAUAGAGGGGUGGGGGGGACAGGUACAGGUGACGACGCUCAAGUGAUGUUUCCUCUUUGAGAUGCCUCUAUUCAUAUCCUGCUACCAAAUAGACAAUGGGGGGUGGUUUUCAGUCUCAUGUUUGUUAUUCCUGUUGCAAUAUUCAAUAGCUGCCACAGUCCCCCUGUUGUGGUACUUACUACCUUUCCACGGCCACCUCUCUGGUUAUGCACCUUUUCACAUCUUCUUCGAAGAUAACAUUUAUAAAUUAGAUUAAUCUACUUAAUUGCCAACCGUUGUCUCCUCCACACCUUUUCUCUGAUAAGAUUUUAUAUGGACAAAAAUAUGCUGUACCUUUACUGUAACUUAUCUGAGCAAUAAUACAUAUUCAAACUUGUACCAAUAGUACUGAAGACUUGCCUGGGUUAAAGAAUUUAAGAGAGACACCAAAUGAUAGUGCAACAGAGCAAGCAGCAGAUGUUUAAAUGAUUCAUGAGAUAGAACUGGCGGCCUUUUUUUCAUUGAAUGAAAGGGUCUAUUAGUACUGUAAAUAUACAUAGGCAAGCCAUCCCCCAGUAAACACAACACAGUGUACCCAAGGUGGAUGAUGCAGGUGGAACCUGUGCAGUGUUCUAAAUUCUGAAGAAAGUCGUGUGGAAUGCUGUAGAAGAUUCCUGGGGCGGUUGAGUAAUGUUGUCAGACCAGCCUGUCUGCUCUGGGCCAUGCAUACCCUCAGUUCUAUGACUCCCACACCUCAGCAGGUUACCAGGCCCGAUCCACUGGCUCAGAGCAGCCUGGCUACCUACCCAGCAUUCCUCUGGCUUUAGUCAAAGGAUUCCGGCAUGGUGCAGGGAAAGUUGCUGUAGAGGUCCCACACGUCUUACUGGAGGAUUCAAACAUUUCUGAGUCAAGCAUCAAAACAAAAAGAGACUUAACUCUGAGGAAUGUUUCACGGUGAUGGGGGACUCUAAUAUACUUUGAAGGAGACACUAGUGCAGAGACAGUCGUGAGAGAGAAACACUCAAUGUUGGCCUACAAUCAGCCAUGUGCAUUCAUAGCCCUAAGGAGAAAUACAAGCUUGUGCACAUUCUUUCUUGAAAUGUGUUUUUGUCUGGUUGAAAUGCCAAGCAUGACGCAUCAUAUAUAAGCAUGUUUAGCUGUUUGUGUCCCUUGAAGAUAAAAAGUACUUAGCUUAUUUGAAUGCUUGUUUUAUCUAUUUACUCAUCCAUAAAUCCAUAACAUUUCAGUGUGAUUAAUCAUGACUGUGUGAGGAUUUAAGAUUGACAUAACUUAAAUAAAUUAGACUGGUGAAAAAAAGUAUUAUUCUUGAGAUUUGAGUACUGUAACUGGAAUGUGAAAGGUCACCAUGAUCACCUGACUGAAACGCAUGCUCUUUAUUCUCCAGUUGAGAGGAGAUACUGUCUGUGUGUGUUCGCGCACGCAUAGUGUAUUAGUUUUUACAAUGGCCUCGUGUUUCAAUGAAGUCAUGAAAGUUCCUUAUCUGAUAUCAGCACAUAACAUACCUUUCUGAGACGGCGAGAUUGUGAAAGGAAAAAGCAUCCAUUUAUGUCUUGUAGAUAUCAUUGGUCUGUCUUCUCACCAAUUCUAUUCAUCAGUUGUCAUGCUUCCCAUAGUUCUGCUAUUUGUAAUGUCCCAAAGCCAUUUGUCAAAAUAAAUGCCAAUUCCAGAUCCAUUUA